AGCUGCUGUCUUCAAUGCUGUUAACUGGAUUGAGUUCAGCUCUUGGGAUGGACUGUAUGCCCUGGUAGUUGCAGGAGAUAUUGCUAUAUAUGCCACAGGAAAUGCCAGACCUACAGGUGGAGUUGGAGCUGUGGCUUUGCUGAUUGGGCCAAAUGCUCCUUUAAUUUUUGACCGAGGGCUUCGUGGAAUACAUAUGCAACAUGCCUAUGAUUUUUACAAGUCCGAUAUGGUCUCCGAAUAUCCUAUAGUCGAUGGAAAACUCUCCAUACAAUGCUACCUCAGUGCAUUAGACCGCUGCUAUUCUGUCUACCGCAAAAAGAUCCAUGCCCAGUGGCAGAAAGAGGGAAAUGAUAAAGAUUUUACCUUAAAUGAUUUUGGCUUCAUGAUCUUUCACUCAAACUGGUUCAGAAAUCUCUAGCUCGGAUGAUGCUGAAUGACUUCCUUAAUGACCAGAACAGAGAUAAAAAUACUAUCUACAGUGGCCUGGAAGCUUUCGGGGAUGUUAAAUUAGAAGAUAUUUACUUUGACAGAGAUGUGGAAAAGGCAUUUAUGAAGGCUAGUUCUGAACUCUUUAAUCAGAAAACAAAGGCAUCUUUGCUGGUAUCAAAUCAAAAUGGAAAUAUGUAUACAUCCUCAGUAUAUGGUUCCCUUGCUUCUGUUCUAGCCCAGUACUCUCCUCAGCAGUUGGCAGGGAAGAGGAUAGGAGUGUUCUCUUAUGGUUCUGGUUUGGCUGCCACCUUGAACUCUCUUAAAGUUACACAAGAUGCCACACCAGGGUCUGCUCUUGAUAAAAUAACAGCAAGUUUAUGUGAUCUUAAAUCAAGGCUUGACUCAAGAACUUGUGUAGCACCAGAUGUCUUUGCUGAAAACAUGAAGCUCAGAGAGGACACUCAUCACUUGGCCAACUAUAUAUCCCAGUGUUCAAUAGAUUCACUCUUUGAAGGAACAUGGUACCUAGUUAGAGUGAAUGAAAAGCAUAGAAGAACAUAAGCUCGUUGCCCCUCUCCAAAUGAUGACACUUUGGGUGAAGGAGGAGGACUUGUGCAUUCAAAUACAGCAACUGAGCAUAUUCCAAGCCCUGCUAAGAAAGUGCCAAGGCUCCCUGCA